AGGACGAACGCUGGCGGCGUGCCUAACACAUGCAAGUCGAGCGAGGAGAUUCCUUCGGGAUGAUCCUAGCGGCGGACGGGUGAGUAACACGUGGGCAACCUGCCUCAUAGAGAGGAAUAGCCUUCCGAAAGGGAGAUUAAUACCUCAUAACAUUGCAGUUUCGCAUGGAACAGCAAUUAAAGGAGCAAUCCGCUAUGAGAUGGGCCCGCGGCGCAUUAGCUAGUUGGUGAGGUAACGGCUCACCAAGGCGACGAUGCGUAGCCGACCUGAGAGGGUGAUCGGCCACAUUGGGACUGAGACACGGCCCAGACUCCUACGGGAGGCAGCAGUGGGGAAUAUUGCACAAUGGGGGAAACCCUGAUGCAAGCAACGCCGCGUGAGUGAUGACGGCCUUCGGGUUGUAAAGCUCUGUCUUCAGGGACGAUAAUGACGGUACCUGAGGAGGAAGCCACGGCUAACUACGUGCCAGCAGCCGC
rnacentral:rRNA from 1 species